AGAAGCAUGUCUGAUGGUUUGAUCAAAUAUGAACUUGCCAAAAUCAUAGUUAACCCUUGUUCCAAUUGCAUGAAUGAUUCUUCCAAUACUAAUGUAGAUGGUAGAGACAUGAUUAGUAGGCACCCAAUUAGCUAAACCAAUCUUGUGUAAGAUGGCAUAUUUAACAGUGAGCUUCCCAGCUGAUAAGUGAUUCCUACUAGGCCAUUCCUUAACUUGGCUAGCUGUGAUAACCCUACAGACCUCAUUGUUUGUAGUCUCUAGGUCCAGUC
rnacentral:lncRNA from 1 species